rnacentral:rRNA from 1 species
CAUAGGUUAAUGAGGCGAACCGGGGGAACUGAAACAUCUAAGUACCCCGAGGAAAAGAAAUCAACCGAGAUUCCCCCAGUAGCGGCGAGCGAACGGGGAGCAGCCCAGAGCCUGAAUCAGUGUGUGUGUUAGUGGAAGCGUCUGGAAAGGCGCGCGAUACAGGGUGACAGCCCCGUACACAAAAAUGCACAUGCUGUGAGCUCGAUGAGUAGGGCGGGACACGUGGUAUCCUGUCUGAAUAUGGGGGGACCAUCCUCCAAGGCUAAAUACUCCUGACUGACCGAUAGUGAACCAGUACCGUGAGGGAAAGGCGAAAAGAACCCCGGCGAGGGGAGUGAAAAAGAACCUGAAACCGUGUACGUACAAGCAGUGGGAGCACGCUUAGGCGUGUGACUGCGUACCUUUUGUAUAAUGGGUCAGCGACUUAUAUUCUGUAGCAAGGUUAACCGAAUAGGGGAGCCGAAGGGAAACCGAGUCUUAACUGGGCGUUAAGUUGCAGGGUAUAGACCCGAAACCCGGUGAUCUAGCCAUGGGCAGGUUGAAGGUUGGGUAACACUAACUGGAGGACCGAACCGACUAAUGUUGAAAAAUUAGCGGAUGACUUGUGGCUGGGGGUGAAAGGCCAAUCAAACCGGGAGAUAGCUGGUUCUCCCCGAAAGCUAUUUAGGUAGCGCCUCGUGAAUUCAUCUCCGGGGGUAGAGCACUGUUUCGGCAAGGGGGUCAUCCCGACUUACCAACCCGAUGCAAACUGCGAAUACCGGAGAAUGUUAUCACGGGAGACACACGGCGGGUGCUAACGUCCGUCGUGAAGAGGGAAACAACCCAGACCGCCAGCUAAGGUCCCAAAGUCAUGGUUAAGUGGGAAACGAUGUGGGAAGGCCCAGACAGCCAGGAUGUUGGCUUAGAAGCAGCCAUCAUUUAAAGAAAGCGUAAUAGCUCACUGGUCGAGUCGGCCUGCGCGGAAGAUGUAACGGGGCUAAACCAUGCACCGAAGCUGCGGCAGCGACGCUUAUGCGUUGUUGGGUAGGGGAGCGUUCUGUAAGCCUGCGAAGGUGUGCUGUGAGGCAUGCUGGAGGUAUCAGAAGUGCGAAUGCUGACAUAAGUAACGAUAAAGCGGGUGAAAAGCCCGCUCGCCGGAAGACCAAGGGUUCCUGUCCAACGUUAAUCGGGGCAGGGUGAGUCGACCCCUAAGGCGAGGCCGAAAGGCGUAGUCGAUGGGAAACAGGUUAAUAUUCCUGUACUUGGUGUUACUGCGAAGGGGGGACGGAGAAGGCUAUGUUGGCCGGGCGACGGUUGUCCCGGUUUAAGCGUGUAGGCUGGUUUUCCAGGCAAAUCCGGAAAAUCAAGGCUGAGGCGUGAUGACGAGGCACUACGGUGCUGAAGCAACAAAUGCCCUGCUUCCAGGAAAAGCCUCUAAGCAUCAGGUAACAUCAAAUCGUACCCCAAACCGACACAGGUGGUCAGGUAGAGAAUACCAAGGCGCUUGAGAGAACUCGGGUGAAGGAACUAGGCAAAAUGGUGCCGUAACUUCGGGAGAAGGCACGCUGAUAUGUAGGUGAAGUCCCUCGCGGAUGGAGCUGAAAUCAGUCGAAGAUACCAGCUGGCUGCAACUGUUUAUUAAAAACACAGCACUGUGCAAACACGAAAGUGGACGUAUACGGUGUGACGCCUGCCCGGUGCCGGAAGGUUAAUUGAUGGGGUUAGCGCAAGCGAAGCUCUU